GAUGGAAGAUAUGAGAGGCGAGAUGGGUCCUCUGCUUCAUUGAUCAAAGGAAAAGAACAUGUUGGAGUUGCAACUACUGCUACCUCUCCAUCUCAUUGAGUGACCACUUCAAGAGACCUCCGGCCAUCAUCGUUGCUGCUCUUCCAUUAUAGUGCUCCAAUUGGUUCAAAAUGAGGGCACCUGGAUCGUGGAUCCAACCCCAAAAUCCAAUCCUCCAUGGAGAUCGCACCC
rnacentral:lncRNA from 1 species